rnacentral:rRNA from 1 species
CAGCAGCCGCGGUAAUACAGAGGGUGCGAGCGUUAAUCGGAUUUACUGGGCGUAAAGCGUGCGUAGGCGGCUUUUUAAGUCGGAUGUGAAAUCCCUGAGCUUAACUUAGGAAUUGCAUUCGAUACUGGGAAGCUAGAGUAUGGGAGAGGAUGGUAGAAUUCCAGGUGUAGCGGUGAAAUGCGUAGAGAUCUGGAGGAAUACCGAUGGCGAAGGCAGCCAUCUGGCCUAAUACUGACGCUGAGGUACGAAAGCAUGGGGAGCAAACAGGAUUAGAUACUCCAGUAGUCCCUGUCUCUUAUAU